UACGGAGGGGGCUAGCGUUGUCCGAAGUUACUGGGCGUAAAGCGCGCGUAGGCGGGUUGGUAAGUCCGCUGUGAAAGCCCGGAGCUCAACUCCGGAGGGUCGGUGGAUACUGCCAGUCUUGAAGGUGCUAGGGGGAGAUGGAAUUACCGGUGUAGCGGUGAAAUGCGUAGAUAUCGGGAGGAACACCUGUGGCGAAAGCGGCUCACUGGACCACAACUGACGCUGAGGCGCGAAAGCUAGGGGAGCAAACAGG
rnacentral:rRNA from 1 species